ACACUGCAAAGGGAAGGGGGACAACCAAAUUCCGCCUCUGUACAACCGGAAAGCUUAGCCGAAUAACAGUAAAGUCACAGUUAAUUAUUUUCUCAUGUGGCCCAAAGAAGGGGGACGGGGGUCCUCACUGAUCUUCAGGAUGGCGAAGAUCCGGAUGACAGAUAAGCAGAUGGUCCAAGUGGCCGCUUCAAGAAAAAAAGACUGCAGACAGAAAAUCUUCAGACAGAAAAUCCCACCGAUCACCAGCAGAGGGAGCAAGCAGCAAACAAACCAGCAAGCCAGUGAACAGCUGAGCAGAGCGACCGAGUCCGGACACACACCACGCACCACAGAGGAGAGGAACCAGCCGAGGAGGGAGACAGAAAGUCCAGGCGGGUCAAAACCCAGGAACAGAGAGGAGCACGCCAGCGGCAGGAACCAGGAGCCGAGAGGAAGCGGAGGCAGCCAACAGCCAGCAGCCAGGCCGGACCUGCCAAAACACCUUUGACUUUGAGCGCGGUGACUUCAGCGCAGGUCCUGCUGAAUGAAGACAGAAGAAAGAAGACGAUGCCAGAUGCGUGAACAACAAGAUGAGACACCAGGACUUGUCAUUAUCGCCAAUGUAUGACUGAUCUCCUUUCC